GCGCUGCUGAGGAGUCCCACAAUAGGACGAAAGGAUCGUCCAGUGC
rfam:Schistosoma curassoni strain Dakar, Senegal genome assembly, scaffold: SCTD_contig0002757